rnacentral:rRNA from 13 species
UUCGGAUUGUAGGCUGCAACUCGCCUACAUGAAGUCGGAAUCGCUAGUAAUCGCGAAUCAGAAUGUCGCGGUGAAUACGUUCCCGGGUCUUGUACACACCGCCCGUCACACCAUGGGAGUUGGUUCUACCCGACGGCCGUGCGCUAACCUUUUGGAGGCAGCGGACCACGGUAGGAUCAGCGACUGGGGUGAAGUCGUAACAAGGUAACCGUACUGGAAGGUGCGGUUGGAUCACCUCCUU